rnacentral:misc_RNA from 1 species
CAACUUUCAGACUUCACUCAAUUCAGUCACCUGAUGAAGGAACUCUACUGAGGUUAUAUCGAGAUAGAAAAUAAAAAGAUGGUCAAAUGUAUCAAAGGUCCUUGAUUCAUUACUGGGAGAUGAGUUCUUAGAUUUCAGCAUGAGACUGUGAACGAGGAAAGAAGCGAUAGGUUACAAGAAGAGGAAGAACCGAGCAAUCAGCUGUGUAGACGGGCGUUAUCAGCUGGCUGGUGCAUGUUUGGUACUACGGGUGUGUUUCUCACUCACGUAUUCUAUCGAAAAUGGUUGAAAGUUCCGUCCAGAGCGAUGCUGACGACAACAAUCAGCAGGUGCCCUCGGUCGAUAUAAUUAGUGGCACAGUGGAGGCAGAGCCACAUACUAAUGGUUCAGAGGACCAUGAAGAAGAGAUCAGUGGAUGUGGGGCACAAUAUUGCUGCAAUCCAAAUUGGGGCCCUUUUAGAUUCAUUGCUUUGUUUUUCAUGUGCUUUCUUGGCUUCGGUUCUUACUUCUGUUUUGACACUCCUGGGUCUCUCCAAGACUACAUAAAGGAUGAAAUGAAAGUAGACACUGUGGCAUUUGCUAGUCUGUAUUCCCUUUACUCUUGGCCUAAUGUAGUACUGUGUUUUAUUGGAGGAUUUCUUAUUGACAGAGUUUUUGGUAUAAGGUGGGGAACAAUAAUAUUCUCAUCCAUUGUUACCGGUGGACAGUUUGUUUAUGCUCUUGGUGCACUUGUUAACCAGUUUUGGUUAAUGCAGGUUGGAAGAUUCAUAUUUGGUAUUGGUGGAGAAUCUUUGGCUGUUGCUCAGAACACCUACACAGUCAGUUGGUUUAAAGGGAAAGAACUUAACACAGUGUUUGGCUUGCAAUUGAGUAUGGCAAGAGUAGGAUCAACUGUCAAUUUUCUAUCCAUGGUGCCAUUAUAUGAGUGGGUGCAGACAUUCUCGGAAGGCUACCAAGCACUCGGUUAUUCAUUAUUAUUUGCUGGUAUCACUUGUGUUUUCUCUCUUGGAUGUGCACUAAUUUUGGGUGUCCUUGACAACAAACGCUCCAAGGUUCUGCAUCUUGAUGCAGCACAAUCUGGGGAAAAAAUCAAGCUAUCGGAUAUUUUAACUUUUCCAGCAUCAUUUUGGCUGAUCUCCAUUAUCUGUGUUGCAUAUUACGUUGCCAUUUUCCCUUUCAUUGGUUUAGCAAAAGUUUUUUUCAUGCGCAAGUAUGAUCUUGAUGCAACCACUGCCAAUUCAGUGAGCAGUGUGGUGUAUCUCAUCUCAGCCAUUGCUUCCCCAAUCCUGGGCAAUCUGGUGGAUCGCACAGGACGGAAUGUGACUUGGGUGUUCAUGGCUGUCUUGAUUACCUUGGGCUGUCAUGCUAUGCUUACAUUCACCUUCUGGAGCCCAUUUAUUUCAAUGAGUAUUUUAGGCCUGGCAUAUUCCCUGUUAGCCAGUGCCCUGUGGCCUAUGGUUGCGCUCAUCAUUCCAGAACAUCAACUUGGCACUGCUUAUGGCAUCAUGCAGAGUGUCCAGAACUUGGGCCUGGCUGUCAUUAGUAUCGUGGCUGGACUGAUUGUAGAUACAAGUGGCUACAUGAUGCUGGAAAUGUUCUACAUGAUCUGGCUUUGCAUUGCACUUGUUGCAACCAUUGCCAUAGCUCUAGUGGACAGUGGUGGCGAUGGUUAUCUUCUCAUGUCAGCAGCCACUAGAAAGAGAGACUUCCCACAUCCACCAGCAGAUGCAAAACUAAAUGAAGCCUUUGACGACAAACUUUGAAAGAAAUUUUGUUGCCUUGUUGUCUACUGUGAUAGUGUGGCUAUCAGACUCAGCUGGGAAUGGAAAACUUAAUUUAUCAGUCACCAAAAGAAACAAUCUGGAAGAAGACAAACAAUGCUUGCUCAAUUCAUAGGUCCUGCAUGAAGUCUGGUUGUGAUUUUAUUGGUGAGUCACAUGAGUCAGGAUCUGCAUAUUUACAUAAUUGUAGUAAACAUGAUUUCAGGUUGGCUCAUGUUGCUUCUUUUAUCAAAGUUACUUUCAGAUAUGAAUAUUCCUUACUCAUGCUAUAGUUGCCUUUAGAUCAUUUAUUUCUUCAUUCAUUCACUAGACCAAUGUCCAUGCAGAGUAAAACGGCCCUCUUUCUACAUACCUUGUACACAUACAUACAACUACACUCACGUAAUUAUUAGUACUCAUAUAAUUAUAACUUGCUAUCACCACAGCUAUGCUGGAAGAAUGUUGCUAUCAUAUUCUUAGCACACAGAAGAUUACUGAAAGGGAUUCAUAGGGGAAGCUGGGAACCCUCUGUAUUUUUUUUUUUUUUUUUUUUUUUUUUUUUCACUUAGACAAGAUAA